GCAAGUCGAGCGGACAGAUGGGAGCUUGCUCCCUGAUGUUAGCGGCGGACGGGUGAGUAACACGUGGGUAACCUGCCUGUAAGACUGGGAUAACUCCGGGAAACCGGGGCUAAUACCGGAUGGUUGUUUGAACCGCAUGGUUCAAACAUAAAAGGUGGCUUCGGCUACCACUUACAGAUGGACCCGCGGCGCAUUAGCUAGUUGGUGAGGUAACGGCUCACCAAGGCAACGAUGCGUAGCCGACCUGAGAGGGUGAUCGGCCACACUGGGACUGAGACACGGCCCAGACUCCUACGGGAGGCAGCAGUAGGGAAUCUUCCGCAAUGGACGAAAGUCUGACGGAGCAACGCCGCGUGAGUGAUGAAGGUUUUCGGAUCGUAAAGCUCUGUUGUUAGGGAAGAACAAGUACCGUUCGAAUAGGGCGGUACCUUGACGGUACCUAACCAGAAAGCCACGGCUAACUACGUGCCAGCAGCCGCGGUAAUACGUAGGUGGCAAGCGUUGUCCGGAAUUAUUGGGCGUAAAGGGCUCGCAGGCGGUUUCUUAAGUCUGAUGUGAAAGCCCCCGGCUCAACCGGGGAGGGUCAUUGGAAACUGGGGAACUUGAGUGCAGAAGAGGAGAGUGGAAUUCCACGUGUAGCGGUGAAAUGCGUAGAGAUGUGGAGGAACACCAGUGG
rnacentral:rRNA from 1 species